UGUUCAUCAUUGCAGGGAGCCAGUCACCGACUAAGAAGAAAGACUUUCUGCCAAAUAAAACUUGUUGGUUCAUAAACAAGAGAUUUAACAAACAAUGGAACUUACCUACAAGGCUUGUUUUGAGUGACUGCAAGAUGAGUACGUCUCUGCAUCUGUCUGCCAGAAUCCUCAAAGUUUAUACAGAGGCCUUAACUUGGACCAGUCAUGUACACCGUCAAGAUGGUCUCAAGAACACAGUGCUCUCUCAAGGCUGUGUCCUUGAAAAUGGCUCUCCCUCUGUGGGAAUGAUCUGCUCAAAUCCAGUCCAACAUGGAGAUGUCAAGUGACCUGCUACAAUCCACAAAAUAACCUGAAUACAAAAAUGUACAAUUAACAACUCUUUUGAAACUGAAAUUGAUAUUUAUCAUCUUCCGUCUUCAUCAACUCAUCUAGAUUUCCCUC
rnacentral:lncRNA from 1 species